rnacentral:lncRNA from 1 species
GUGCGGCAGCCUGCUGUUGUUCGCCUGUGACUUUACAAAGCUGUGCUGUGACACAUCACUCCUCUGAUCAGAGCUCACAGACUUAUCAGCAUAUGUCCCGCCGCGCGCACGUGGCUGCAGGCUUCUAAUGAACUGAGGGAGGCGCUUUUCAUGCCAGAGCAGCUGUGGGCUACAGAUACGCAGAGCGGCCUGAUUGACGCUGCAGCUUCUGUAUGAGUUAGUUGUCCUAGUAGGUUACGUCUUACAUCUGGCUGUCAGCCAUGAUCAUUUACAUCCUCGUGGGACUUUGCAGAAGGCCCAGACUUUGGGAAACGCUGUGCCACCAAGCACGACGGAAGGACGGACGCGUCGCUGGAGAGGUGACGGUGAUGGAGACUCAGGGAGGUUCUGUGUGUUCCGUCCCUGCAGAUGCUGCACCUCCAGCGGGUCCUGGCGCUGGAGAAGAUGACGGUGACACAGGUCAACGGCCAGCGGAAGUACGGAGGCCCACCAGAGGGUCUUCCUCGCGGUCCAGCACAGUACGGAGAAGAGGAAACUGUGCUUUGGAGAGCUGCCGGCCUCCACCAGGCAGGAGGACCUGCUGCAGUGCUGCAAGGGCUUGCAGAGGGGGUGAAGCGGUUGUCCCUGAAGCCGGACCUGAAGGGGGUGUCCGCCAUAGUGGCCUUCUCUACCCAUCACACGGCUUCUAUGGCCAAGAAGGGGCUGGUGGAAGGUGAGGGAGCUUCUUUGAUGCUCAUCACAUCACACAUGGUCCUGCUUUUUUUUUUUUUUUUUUUUAUUAACUCCUACACAUGGGUGCACAGCACAAUGAGCUGUGAUCCCUUAUCUACCUCUAAUGUACACCUCUAAUGUCAUGGAGGCCAGGCACAGCUUCUACACCACCUUCUCCCAUCAGCGAAAAUCGUUCAGGAUACAUUCUGGUGUUUUCUUUGUUUUUCUCCAGCGUUCAAGAGGCAUUUUAAUUUAACUGUCAUGGUCAAGUGGCACACACGAUGAGCCCAAAGGAGCCAUGGGCUCAUCAGAAGCCCUCCCGCUACCUCCCCUACACCGUUGGACGGAACUGUCCAAUAAAUGCAGAACACUUGUUCA